rnacentral:rRNA from 1 species
AAUUCGAUUGAGUUUGAUCAUGGCUCAGAUUGAACGCUGGCGGCAUGCCUAACACAUGCAAGUUGAACGGCAGCACAGCUUAAGCUUGCUUAAGUGGGUGGCGAGUGGCGGACGGGUGAGUAAUGCAUCGGGACCUACCUGAACGUGGGGGAUAACGUAGGGAAACUUACGCUAAUACCGCAUACGUCCUACGGGAGAAAGCGGGGGACCUUCGGGCCUCGCGCGGUCAGACGGACCGAUGUUCGAUUAGCUAGUUGGUAAGGUAAUGGCUUACCAAGGCGACGAUCGAUAGCUGGUC